CUGGGUCCAGUGGCCAGAUAUCAAUCAGAACAACUGGAGACAGCCCAGGAUGCCGUGAUUGUACUUGGCACAUGUAAGCUGAGGUCUUUCCAGCUUCUCACUUUGAGUGAGAAAAGGACCAUUCAGUGAAUAGUCCUCUUUAAGAGAAUCCUCAUAAAGUUCCCUUCAGGAUAGCUUCCAGCUAGAUUCCGAGGGCUGACUCCUUUCUAGAUGGCAUACUGGUACUCCUCUCCACUCUGAGAGGUCACACUCUUGAAGCAGCUGCCCUUCUCAGCGGAUGUCCAUUAAUUAGGCACUGCCAGAAGAAACAGGCUCCUCAUAAUUGUCCACUUGGCCUACAACCAGGU